rnacentral:rRNA from 1 species
GAUGAAUGCUGGCGGCGUGCCUAACACAUGCAAGUCGAGCGGCAGCGCGGAGAGUUUACUCUCUGGCGGCGAGCGGCGGACGGCUGAGUAACGCGUGGGAACGUGCCCCAAAGUGAGGAAUAACUGCCCGAAAGGGUGGCUAAUGCCGCAUAUGAUCUUCGGAUUAAAGGAUUUAUCCGCUUUGGGAGCGGCCCGCGUCGGAUUAGGUUGUUGGUGAGGUAAUGGCUCACCAAGCCGACGAUCCGUAGCUGGUCUGAGAGGAUGAUCAGCCAGACUGGGACUGAGACACGGCCCAGACUCCUACGGGAGGCAGCAGUGAGGAAUCUUCCACAAUGGGCGAAAGCCUGAUGGAGCAACGCCGCGUGCAGGAUGAAGGCCUUCGGGUUGUAAACUGCUUUUAUAAGUGAAGAAUAUGACGGUAACUUAUGAAUAAGCACCGGCUAACUACGUGCCAGCCGCCGCUUAA